GCAGCUGUGGCUGAAUGGUUACGGUGUUCGCUUUGUAAGCGAAUGGUUCUUGGUUCGAUUCCCAUCCACGGCG
rfam:Culex pipiens quinquefasciatus supercont3.256 genomic scaffold, whole genome shotgun sequence.